UACGUAGGGGGCAAGCGUUGUCCGGAUUUAUUGGGCGUAAAGAGCGUGUAGGCGGCCAUGUAGGUCCGUUGUGAAAACUCGAGGCUCAACCUCGAGACGCCGAUGGAAACCAUGUGGCUAGAGUCCGGAAGAGGAGAGUGGAAUUCCUGGUGUAGCGGUGAAAUGCGCAGAUAUCAGGAAGAACACCGGUGGCGAAGGCGGCUCUCUGGGCCUUACCUGACGCUGAGGAGCGAAAGCGUGGGUAGCGAACAGG
rnacentral:rRNA from 1 species